rnacentral:rRNA from 1 species
UAGUUGGUGGGGUAAUGGCCUACCAAGGCGACGAUCAGUAGCGGGUCUGAGAGGAUGAUCCGCCACACUGGAACUGAGACACGGUCCAGACUCCUACGGGAGGCAGCAGUGGGGAAUUUUGGACAAUGGGGGCAACCCUGAUCCAGCCAUUCCGCGUGAGUGAAGAAGGCCUUCGGGUUGUAAAGCUCUUUCAGCCGGAACGAAACGGUAUUCCUUAAUACGGGGUGCUAAUGACGGUACCGGCAGAAGAAGCACCGGCUAACUACGUGCCAGCAGCCGCGGUAAUACGUAGGGUGCGAGCGUUAAUCGGAAUUACUGGGCGUAAAGCGUGCGCAGGCGGAUUGUUAAGCAAGAUGUGAAAUCCCCGGGCUUAACCUGGGAAUGGCAUUUUGAACUGGCAGUCUAGAGUGUGUCAGAGGGGGGUGGAAUUCCACGUGUAGCAGUGAAAUGCGUAGAUAUGUGGAGGAACACCGAUGGCGAAGGCAGCCCCCUGGGAUAACACUGACGCUCAUGUACGAAAGCGUGGGUAGCAAACAGGAUUAGAUACCCUGGUAGUCCACGCCCUAAACGAUGUCAACUGGUUGUUGGGGGGAGUGAAAUCCCUUAGUAACGAAGCUAACGCGUGAAGUUGACCGCCUGGGGGAGUACGGUCGCAAGAUUAAAACUCAAAGGAAUUGACGGGGACCCGCACAAGCGGUGGAUGAUGUGGAUUAAUUCGAUGCAACGCGAAAAACCUUACCUACCCUUGACAUGUCCAGAAUCCUGCAGAGAUGCGGGAGUGCCCGAAAGGGAAUUGGAACACAGGUGCUGCAUGGCUGUCGUCAGCUCGUGUCGUGAGAUGUUGGGUUAAGUCCCGCAACGAGCGCAACCCUUAUCAUUAGUUGCUACGCAAGGGCACUCUAAUGAGACUGCCGG